UUUGUUAUUAAUGUGUCAUCUUAUGAUUGUUUUACAUGAAGAAGACAUUGAAGUAUGGAUUGAUGUCAAAAUAACAGUGGAAAAUGGUUUAACCCUGUCACUGGCAACCAAAAAAUCAUCGUUUUCUAGGCCACCGGGCUACCCGGGUAGCCAGCGACUUUGAAAGCUAAAAAGCUGUUUUUAGUUAUCGCUUUUCGAAGUUGACAAGAUUUGUUAGAAAAAAAAAAAAUACAAAAUAUAAAAAAUACUUUUACAGUACUUAACAAAACUUUCACAGCAAAAUGAUUCUAGUAGUUUCAAGAACUGUAUGUAGCACGUCUUUUAUACAUUUUUUAGAAUUUGUCUAUGAGCCAUAAAAAAUAUAAAGGAGUUUUGAUUUGAAUAAAACCCGUUACAUCACACCUGUCAUAAUAAUUUUGUAAAAUGCACAUCUGCGACAAAUGCAAAAACUUUAUAAAAUGGCCUCUGUUGGUAACUAAUGUUGAUUAAACAUUGUAAAGAGACUUACAGGCCUAUUAUAUUGCGUUCGGCAUUCGAGAAGAUUCAAUCGCACGUUCAUUAUGUUCAUUUUCGUAUCUUUAUGCUAGCGACUUUCCGCUUCGAGUAACUCAUCGGCAGAUUCGAGUCGACGAAGUAAAAAUCGGUACCGUAUUGCUCGAACAGAAAGGUGCAUUCGAGAGAUUUUCUGCCAACAGCUCAAGCUGUCGGAAACGCGCAAAUUUAAUCUCACAAUGAAUUUAAGCCACUGUCUAUGUGUGUAGUUAAGUUUAACAUAAGUUUAUCAACACUCUCAUGGCUCAUAUUUACCCCAUUUCCAACAACAAAUGGAAUGGAAAAUGGAAUGGAAUGGAAAAAAUGAUUUUAAAGAAGUGCUGAAUCUAUUUGUUUACACUCACUCCGACCGCCGGUUGCUUCGACCAACUGUCAAACACACAGAUGCCCAAGUAGCAACCGAAGCCUGUUUCUCCCAGUUUCAACCCCCUCAUGUCCAAAAACUGCCUUCGCUCACUAUUCCUAUCCCAUUUGUACAUUCUACAAAGUUUGUUGCGUUCUCGCUCAUCAGGGUGUUAGUCAAUUCUCUCUUGCCACACGAAGAGAAUUCUCCUGCACACUUCGUGUGUCUACCCAUCCCUGUUGAACACAAGUCAUUUUCUUCCAUCGCACUCAUCUGAGUGUUUGCUCUUUUCCAUCCAAGCCAAAGAGCGACUUCAGUCAGAGCACACAGAACCGUGGACAUGAGAGUGUGUGUUUGUGUGCUGCGUGAACUAUUUUACCUGCGUAAACCACUUUCCCGUACUGCACCCUCCGCGGUGUUCUUUUUGCUUUAUCGGAGGACGAAUUGUUAUCAUCUAAUUGUUUCGUUUUAGAUGUGUGCUGCUACCGCUAGCUGUUCUCCAAACCUCUUCAAAUUGGGACACUGUGUGCACGGGCGUUCAAGGCUCAAUUGAUCCUCAAGUACUAAGCCUUCAUACAACGCCGCGGUUGAGGCGCGCCAAAUCUGAUGACAUCUUUCCUGAACCAAGCAGGCUGAACACGCGCACCACCACGGGCACCAGCGCGGUGUGAAGAGGGAAGAAGAAAAGACAGAAUUGGAAACAACCGCACCAGGCUUCCAACCACCGUGUGUGUGUAUGUAAGUAUGUGAGAACACAUGUGUGAAUCCUCUUGUGGGAACUGCAAAAAGAAGAGAAAUAAAGAGUGUGAAGCAGCUAGGCCGCCGCAUCCAAA